GUGUCAUCCUCCCUAUCUCAACACCACCAAGUCACCACCCCCAGUGUUAUCACGUGACUCACCACACCACUUCACUGCGCCUCAUUACCUACUCACUCCUGACUGACUCGUGCAUUAGUCACCACCGUCCUUCAGCAAUGGACAUAAUCAAGACUUGUAGCCACCCACAACACACACUUGCUCCACACCUGCUGACACCUUAUCCCCUUACUGUCAUGCUCCCCUCUCAGGCCACGAAAUUCUCCACACUAAUCCUUGGCCACCGCUUCCCCGACUCCCAAUCAAGUAGACACAUCCUGCCUCUCCCAAUCGCCAGUCCUGAGGGGGCGAAGCCAUCUGCAUCUUUAUGGCCAGGGGCGCCGAGUCCAUUUCCUGGGUCGCUUUUGCGGUGGUGUAGGUAAGGAUAGUCAUGCCCCCUUCCCUGGCCUUCCCUAACCUUUCCUACCCAUUCCCUGCCCCUUCUCUACCCUUUCUAUGCCCUCUUUUGCGUUAUGCCUCAAAUGUUGGGUGCUUCUGGCUUGUGGGGGGAAGGGUCAGGGUAUAGUGUGUGUGUGUGUGUGUGUGUGUGUGUGUGUGUGUGUGUGUGUG